rnacentral:rRNA from 1 species
AUUGAACGCUGGCGGCAUGCCUUACACAUGCAAGUCGAACGGCAGCACGGGAGCAAUCCUGGUGGCGAGUGGCGAACGGGUGAGUAAUAUAUCGGAACGUGCCCAGUCGUGGGGAUAACGUAGCGAAAGCUACGCUAAUACCGCAUACGAUCUAUGGAUGAAAGCGGGGGAUCGCAAGACCUUCGCGCGAUUGGAGCGGCCGAUAUCAGAUUAGGUAGUUGGUGAGGUAAAGGCUCACCAAGCCGACGAUCUGUAGCUGGUCUGAGAGGACGACCAGCCACACUGGGACUGAGACACGG